GAUGAACGCUGGCGGCGUGCCUAAUACAUGCAAGUCGAGCGAACGGACGAGAAGCUUGCUUCUCUGACGUUAGCGGCGGACGGGUGAGUAACACGUGGAUAACCUACCUAUAAGACUGGGAUAACUUCGGGAAACCGGAGCUAAUACCGGAUAAUAUCUUGAACCGCAUGGUUCAAUAGUGAAAGACGGUCUUGCUGUCACUUAUAGAUGGAUCCGCGCUGCAUUAGCUAGUUGGUAAGGUAACGGCCUACCAAGGCAACGAUGCAUAGCCGACCUGAGAGGGUGAUAGGCCACACUGGAACUGAGACACGGUCCAGACUCCUACGGGAGGCAGCAGUAGGGAAUCUUCCGCAAUGGGCGAAAGCCUGACGGAGCAACGCCGCGUGAGUGAUGAAGGUCUUCGGAUCGUAAAACUCUGUUAUUAGGGAAGAACAUAUGUGUAAGUAACUGUGCACGUCUUGACGGUACCUAAUCAGAAAGCCACGGCUAACUACGUG
rnacentral:rRNA from 1 species